UCACUUUCUCAUGAUCAUGAGAUUGCUUUGAUCAUGAAGGUGGUUCACCCAGGACGAGGCUCAGCCAUUGUACUCCGGCUGUGCUGACCCCUGCGAAUUCCCCAAAUGUGGGAAUCUUAACUGCAUAAUUUGUGGUAGUGUGGAACUUUGUGGUAGAUUCCACU